ACAUCUGUUCAGGAAGAUGUAGUUAUUCCUUUUCUAAACAGGUAGAGUAGAAAGUAAAUUCGUUAGGGUAUUUAUAGGCUGAGGUUUAAACUUCAGCCUUUUUU
rnacentral:ncRNA from 1 species